AAUACGUUCCGGGCCUUGUACACACCGCCCGUCACACCACGAAAGUCGGCAACACCCGAAGCCGGUGGCCUAACCCUUUGGGAAGGAGCCGUCGAAGGUGGGGUCGGUGAUUGGGGUG
rnacentral:rRNA from 1 species